UCCACCUUGGGGACCCAGAGUCUUCCCUGCCCUUGCAGGAGGGGACUCGGACAAGGACGUCCCUCCCAAAGCAAACCCUCUAAAGAAGCAAACCACUGGCGGCAUGAACCUGUCAUCUGCAGUAGGAGGCAUGCAGUAGUGUAGAGUCUGUUCAAGGGAAUAUUACACAGCACUGAUUUAUUUGGGAAAGAAACAGCCAGUUGAGUUGUUCAGGGUUCACUGUGUCCUAGGACUGCAGAGGAAGCCCCAGCUGUGAUGGCUACGGAGGAGGCUCCCUAGAGGCACAGGCUAGGUCUGCAAGGGACCUGCUGCAGUUAAGGAGCACUGCGAAAAAAAGAACAUUACCAAAGCACUGGCAGAGAGAAAGCUUUUCUGCGAAGUUGUAAACAUCUGUAAAAUUCGUCAUGCUGUGUGGAUUCAUGGGGGUGGUCACCCCAAGGGCAGGGCCAGGGCGACCUCAGAGGAAGGAGAAGUGCCAAGGCCUCCCACUCACCCCGAAAAAGAAAGGAAAAAAGAUUGCAUGCAAAUGUGCCAAACUUGGAUAUAUGACAGACUAGUGGGGAAGAGAAAGAAACCUGGGUGUGGUGACUCACACCCAUAAACCCAGCACUCUGGGAGGCUGAGGCCGGACAGUCACAAGUUCAAGCCCACCCCGGGCAAUUUAGCAAUUUAGUGAGUCCCUGUCUCAAAAUAAGAAAUGGGCUGGGGAGAUAGCUCUGUGGCAAGGCCCUGGCUCAAUCCUCAGUCCUGCAAAGCAACACAAAAGCAAAAGCAGACGAAAAACCGGAAGGAGCCUUCCGGGAAGGAGGAGCCAUCUGAACAAACAGAUGCUCUUCUGUCAUUGUGCUGAGACGCUCAUAAUAAAAAAAGAAAGACUGCAGACAGAACACUUUUGCUUUUCUCAGACAGGAGCAGCACAGCCUGCUGCCAGCUGCACGCCAUACCCGGCCUCCGCCUGCUCCACUUGCUCCACUUACUUCGUCGCUGUCUCUUUCCUUGUGAAGUUCCUGCUGCCCAGGGCAGGAGGAGAAAUCCAUUCCACACUCCUCAUCUUUGUGAGAAUCGUCUCCCUUCCUCGCACCCUCUCCUGCCCAUCUACCCUCUCCACCAUCACUGUGGACAGCAGAGGACAGCUGCAAGUCCCGGACUCCCCACCCCCAGAGGAGCGCAGGGAAGCACUGACACCCAGGGUGAGCCUGCAUUCUCCUCACGGGCCCAGGCUCCAGAGCAGAUUCAGGUCCAGCCUCUGCUACAGAGCAGCUGGCUUGCAGAGCUGCCCUUGGACUCUUCGUUUCCUGUCCGAUGGCAGCAGUGGUACCUGCCUUGUUCAAGAGGACAGAAAACUUGAGGAUUAAAGAAAAUAUGAGUCAGAUCCCUGUCAGUGUGAGGCGUUUUUUUGAGCUUUUUGAUGGGACCCACUUCUGAUCAUCCAAGCAGGGCCGGAAGGGAUAGUUUGACGGCCAUUUUUAUUUUUCUUCUUUUUGAAAGACAGGGUCUCACUACGUAAUUCAGGCUGACCUUGAAUGCACUAUGUAGCCCUAGUCAAUCUGAAACUUUGCAGUGAUCUUCCUGCCUCAACCUCCUGAGUGCUGGGAUAACAGGUACGUGCUACCACACCUGGCUGAUGGCAACUUUAAACAACCUAUAGUCGCAAAUGGCAAUGAGAAGGUUACAAUAUUUUGGGGCCGGGAGUUUAGCUCAGUGGUUCUGGGGCCUGCCUUGCAAGCGAAAGGUUCCCAGUUCAAUCCCCAGUACCAAAAAAAAAAGGUUACAAUAUUUUGAAAAAUUCACAAUAUGCAUCAAACACAGAUAUAAAUUGUACAAAUGUAUGUAGGAUGAAUUUGGGGGGAUUAACUGUACCCUUUAAACGCACCCUGUACCUUUCAGUCUUCUUAUAUACUUAUUUACUUAUUUAGAGAUGAAGCUUUGUUACACUGCCCUGGCUGGCUUUGAACUUUCGAUCCUCCUGCCUCAGCCUCCCAAGUAGCUGGGGUUACUGGUGUAUACCACCAUGCCCAGGCUUCUGUUGGUAUACACACCCAAAGCUAUGCCGCAGACUGUUGCCUCCGACUCCCUCAGGGGGCUUUUCCUUUUGCACGAGGGGAAGAAGAAUGAGUCUUACAAAUCCAGUGAGUAAGAGCAAAAGAAGAGUCACAAUCGCUGAUGCUACUGGCAACCCUGCCCCAAGCUCGGCUUAGGCUGCGUUCUCUCAUGGAGCUGUCACCAGAGACGGAUGAGGGGGUACUAUGAUCAUCCCUAUUUUACCGAGGAGUAAACCGAGGCAUAGAGGAUUUAGAGCGUGAAGUGGCAGAUCUGUCUCCAAAACCCAUGAUGACCAGGAAGCAAAUCAAGCACGAUCCUAAACAGCAGAAGCGGUGUGUGUGCCACUCAGCCCAACAGAUUUCGAGCAAGAGGGCAUAGGAACCGCACGCGCUCACCCUGAGAACUCUUUCCUUUUGUUUCAUACAGCUUGUGGGGUUCUGCUGCAGUUUGCGUCAAUAGUCCUGCAAAGCUCUUUCCAGUUCACUGAAGCCAUUUAUCCAGCACCGACUUGCAGACUCGAGCCUGGGUAACCUACCAUCCGAGGGGUGACUUUAGCAGGAGGCCGCGUGGGGCGCAGACUAGGGGCAGAGCCGGCUCCGGGCCCCCCUGGCCGAGACUCCAGGCCUGACGUCACGUGGGCCUGCACGUGGCCCGGCCCCCCGGGAAUGCUGCACCACGUGGCUCACUCGCUCCGGGCUGCAGGAGGCCACCAGGCUGCAGCAGAGCCCACCACUCGGCCUGGCUCUCCCGCAGCUGCCCGGCUCCGCUCCCGAGUCCCUGCGCUGACCCCGGCCCAGAGCUGAGGCGCCAGGUGUAGCGGCUCUCAGCUCGGCCAGCGUUCAUCCCCUGCCACCGAGGUUUGCCCACC
rnacentral:lncRNA from 1 species